CAGCCGCCGCGGUAAUACGAAGGGUGCAAGCGUUACUCGGAAUUACUGGGCGUAAAGCGUGCGUAGGUGGUUGUGUAAGACAGGUGUGAAAUCCCCGGGCUUAACCUGGGAACUGCGCUUGUGACUGCACAGCUAGAGUAUGGCAGAGGGGGGUGGAAUUCCACGUGUAGCAGUGAAAUGCGUAGAGAUGUGGAGGAACACCGAUGGCGAAGGCAGCCCCCUGGGCCAAUACUGACGCUCAUGCACGAAAGCGUGGGGAGCAAACAGGAUUAGAUACCCCUGUAGUCCCUGUCUCUUAUAC
rnacentral:rRNA from 1 species